AGAGCGAACGCUGGCGGCAGGCCUAACACAUGCAAGUCGAGCGCCCGUAGCAAUACGGGAGCGGCAGACGGGAUAGUAACACGUGGGAACGCGCCCUUCGGUUCGGAAUAACUCAGGGAAACUUGAGCUAAUACCGGAUACGCCCUUACGGGGAAAGAUUUAUUGCCGAAGGAACGGCCCGCGUCCGAUUAGCUAGUUGGUGAGGUAAUGGCUCACCAAGGCUCCGAUCGGUAGCUGGUCUGAGAGGAUGACCAGCAUCACUGGGACUGAGACACGGCCCAGACUCCUACGGGAGGCAGCAGUGGGGAAUAUUGGACAAUGGGCGCAAGCCUGAUCCAGCCAUGCCGCGUGGAUGAUGAAGGCCUUAGGGUUGUAAAGUCCUUUUAACGGGGAAGAUAAUGACGGUACCGUAGAAUAAGCCCGGCUAACUUCGUGCCAGCAGCCGC
rnacentral:rRNA from 1 species